GAAAUGCGAUAAGUAAUGCGAAUUGCAGAAUUUCCGUGAGUCAUCGAAUCUUUGAACGCACCUUGCGCUCCUUGGUAUUCCUUGGAGCAUGCCUGUUUGAGUAUCAUGAAAUCUUCAAAGUAAAUCUUUUGUUAACUCAAUUGGUUUCUACUUUGGUAUUGGAGGUCUUUGCAGCUUCACACCUGCUCCUCUUUGUUCAUUAGCUGGAUCUCAGUGUUAUGCUUGGUUCCACUCGGCGUGAUAAGUUAUCUAUCGCUGAGGACACUGUAAAAGGUGGCCAAGGUAAAUGCAGAUGAACCGCUUCUAAUAGUCCAUUGACUUGGACAAUACUUUUAUGAUCUGAUCUCAAAUCAGGUAGGACUACCCGCUGAACUUAAGC
rnacentral:misc_RNA from 1 species